rnacentral:lncRNA from 1 species
GGACUGUCCGGUGCGCCCAUCGCCAGCAGCCUUUGCCAACGACUAGGAAUUGGUUGGGGAAACCACCUCAUUCAUUGCCAUCCAAGUUUUCUAAAGAUCACAUUCAAUACAAGAGCUAGAACAUUCACUCCAAGACAAAAUUCCAAAGAUCAAACCCUCUUUAAGUGCCAAAUUCAUCUCAACCACUUAGUGACUUGAGAGAGAGUGAUUUUGUGUUCAUUUUUUGUGGUCCUUGCGAGGUCUUAGUGACCCGUGAGAUUAAGGAAAAGGCUCACUCGGUCUAAGUGACCGUUUGAGAGAGAGGGAAAGGGUUGGAAUAGACCCGACCUUUGUGGCCUCCUCAACGGGGACUAGGUUCUUUGGAACCGAACCUCGAUAAAACAAAUCACCAUGUCUAAUCGCUUUGAUUCUCGCUUGAUUUGUUUGCCCUCUUUCCUCUCUCUCUAACAUUUCCUUGCUAGCAUUAAUUUGAGUUUGCUACCAUACGUCAUCUGCACUCUUUGAGCAACUCCUAGCAAGAGAAACAAUCUUUCGGGCUUGAGUUUAAUUCUAACGCUAACCCUGGCCUUUAGUGUGUGUUUAAGUUAUAAAUUUCAGGUUUCGCCUAUUCACCCCCCUCUAGGCGACUUUCACUUGCGAAUACUAUGGUGAAGUCUGGGUCGCGAGAACAGGGCUGAGACGGGCAGACGGCGGAGGGGGGGAAGGUCCCUGGUAUCUUGGGCUUCAAAGAAACAAAACUCCGUAGCUCUUUCCACCUUCGAAGCCGAGUACAUUGCCAUAGGACAUUGUUGUGCGCAAUUAUUUUGGAUGAGGCAAACCCUUAGGGACUAUGGCUACAAGUUGAGCAAAGUCCCUCUCCUAUGUGAUAAUGUGAGUGCAAUCCGCAUGGCGGAUAAUCCCGUUGAACAGAGCCGCACUAAGCACAUAGACAUCUGGUAUCACUUUUUGAGAGAUCACCAACAAAAGGGGGAUAUCAAAAUAGCUUAUGUGAGCACCCACAACCAAUUAGCUGAUAUCUUUACCAAACCACUAGAUGAGAAAACCUUUAGCAAACUCAGGAAUGAGCUAAAUAUACUUGAUUCUCGGAACUUUGAUUGAAACAUUGCACACAUAGCUCAUGUAUAUACCUUUGAUCAUGUCUAUUUCAUUUGGUGCAAAUACAUAUUUCUUAUUCUUCUUGUGCCAAGGCUAAGACUAAAAUCACUACACGACGGUUCACUUACAGCGACCUACGGUUGGUUGCUAAAACGGCCUUCAGCGACCUAUGGUUGGUCGCUAAAAACUUUUAGCGACCCAUAUGGAUGGUCGAUGUAAGUGCCGUCGCUAAAGGCUUUAGCGACCGACAUCUUUUUAGCGACCGACCGUCCGUUGCUAAUAUUAUAUAUUUAGCGACCAACCGUGGGUUGUUGUACUAUAGAUUUAGCAACCAAUCGUGAGUCGUUAUACUAUACAUUUAGCAACCAACAGAAAGUUACCCCUAAUUAUAGUCGUUAAUAAUGAUAAUAUACCAUUAAUUAGCAUUCAACAACUGUUAUAUAUACAAAAGCAUCACAAAUCACCAAUUUUUAUACACAUAAUCACAUAGAUAUACAAAUUUAAUUAGUAUUGCACAAUGAUAGAUCCACAUCACAUAAACCAUCAACAAGCACCACAACAAAAUCAUUCACAAAACCUACACAUGUUAUUAUGUUUUGCACAUAUUUGCAAACACUUUACAAAAUCAUUCACAAAAGUACUAACGCUUCAAGUGAUUCACAAAAGCCUUCACAAAAGCACUCCAACUUCUUGUAUCCUCUUGUUUUAAGGCACAAGCUUGUAGGGGUUGUGAUGUCGCCACUUACUUGAUGCUAACAAGACAUUUCCUUCACCAAAGCCAUCUUCAACACUUCGCCCAUAAAAAAAGAUCAAUUCUCAUUUUCAAUUGCCUGCAAGACAAGUGAUAAUUGCAAUAAGUAAAUUAUAAUCUACAUUUAUAUAAUCUAGACUACCAAACAACUACAUAUAGUAGAUUAUAAUAUGGAUUAUAUAAUUUAGAUUAUAAUCUAGAUUAUAUAAUCUAUAAGCUGAAACAAACGGGUCCUAAGGCAAUGCAGGCACGAUAAAUUCAGCAUAACAUAAAGGCAGUUCUUCAACAUCAGAGAGCACAAUAUUCUCAGUCAGCUCCCUUUAACACAACAAAAUCUUAAACAAGAGCUUCCUAGCUUUUGCAGAGCUCUAUCCUCCACAAGCCGGUCAUGAUACAACAUUACACACUUAGGUAAAUUUACAGAAGCUAUUAUAGAGUACUGAGUACUUACCUUAUAUUCAUCAAUUGCAUCUUGAGCAAAAUCGAUAUCUGUAUCUUUUUCCCUGAAACAACGCACCAACAGCAAGGUCAGUCAGACUAAUGCAUACUAAUUAAACAGUAAAGGUGUAUUCCUAUUUCCUACAAUAAAAAAUCAACAUCCACCAGAUAGAAUAUAAAAUGUAUGAAAGAUCAUCACAUAUAAUCAUACUCUGAAUCAACAGAGGUAGAGAUAUUGUGUAUAUGAUCAAAGCUCAUCCAUGUGCAAAACAAUAAUCAUAACCAUAAAACAGGAUACCAUGCCAUGAAAAUUACUAGGUAGAUUCUGCAUAAGGAAGUCCUUGCCAUUUGACUAAAUAUUCAGGAACCAGAUCAUCUCCAUCAGCUUUGCUGACCCUAUCAGCAAAUAUCCGCUCAACCUGAAGAUUUAAUGUCAGAAGAUAUGCAAAGCGACAAUGAAUAUGUUAGCAUAACCAGAGAAACAUAUCAAAUUAAUGCCAAUAUGUUGCCAAGUAAAGAAGCCUACGGAUGCAAGCCAAUAUCACACCAUAAUCACUAAUUAAUAGCAGCAAAUUUAACCUAACAAUGACUUAAUUUUGAACAUCGUAAAAAGAACUACUGUGUAAAAAAACAGGGACCUUCCAUACAGAAAGAGGCACCAACAUUUCCUUUACAUUUUUAAGUUUUAUCACAGUGGAUUUUCAUAUCUGGAUGCUGAGAUAUAAAAGGUGACAUGCUUCAAUUCAUGUUAAACUUGAAAUUGUUAUCUAGUGGUUUACCUCUUCACGUGAUAGUGCCCUCUUGUACCUCUGUUCCUCAGCAACUCUUUUCGUGUAAUUUAUUACCUUCUUGAAUCCACUAACCUGUCAUGUAGGGGUUACAUGAGUGAAAGCAGAUUUAGAAAGAACAAAGACAAAGGAUUAAGCAGAUUUAGAAACGGCCGCAGUAAAGCUCCAUUACAUGCGAUGAAGAACGGACAGCGGGGUUCGUCGGUUGGCCUUCGGUUGGCGCUGGCUCGGAGUCGGGGGAGCAGGGGCACGUGGCUUCAGGUGCGCCGGCAUCUUGGGCGCGGUUCCUGGCUCGUUGAUGGCGCUCCACUCUCUGCUCGGCUCGGCGCCCCGUUAGCUGCUCUGGUGCGGCGGGCGGUGGCCUGGGUGCUCGGGCGCUCGGCGCACCGCUCGGCCGACCUAGGUGCUCGACACCCCGCUCGGCCGUGGCCUGGUGGUUGGCGGCUGGCCGUGGAGCCAUGGUCCGUGGAGAGUGGAGAACAGCAGCAGCUAGCGGCGGCUGGUGGGCUUGGCGGCUAGGGUUAGAAGGACAGGAGAAGGUGCUAGGAGGCUAGGGGGCUGGGGGUUUUCCGCUGGGAAUUGGGGAUGCGGCUAGGUGGCUAGGGGCUUGGCGGCUAGGGCUAGCGGCGGGUAGGUUUUGUUUUUUUUCUUUUUUUAUUUCUUUUUCUAAAUUUGAAAUACAUUUUUAAAUAAUCCUAAAAUUCAUAGUAAUUAAACCAAAAUUAUUUAUAAAUAAAAUAUUAAUUUUUGCGCUAAUAAUAUUAUAUUUUUUUAUUUACUAGGAUUUUUAUUUAAGAAGAAAUGUUAUUCAAUAACCAAAAAUCAAUCAUGCGCAAUAAAAAAAUUAUUCUAAAUGCAAAUACAAAACAAACACUUAAAAUAAAAUUCAUUACCAUAAAUAUCAUUAAUAACUAAAUGCAUUAUUUUUAUUUUAUGAUUUUUAUAGUGUUAUAGUUUUCUUUUCCAUAAUUCUUUUUUCUUUUUUACAAUUCUUUUUUUCUUUACUACAAUUUAGCGAUCAAUGUUUACUUAUUUUAAUUAAUUUUUAGUCACUAACAUCUACAGGUACGUUCGGGCUAUAAGAUUUGAUAGUGAUCCUUGCUCUAUAGCGACCCACCGCUAGUCCCCGACGACAUCUACAGCGACCAACCAUAAGUUGUUAAAUUCUAGACUUUUAGCGACCAACCGACCGUUGCUACAAAAGGAUUUAGCGACUGACCGUCGGUCCCUAACCUUUAGCAACCAACAGUUGGUACCUAAUAAGGGUCGCUAAAGAUCAACCGUCGUGUAAUGUAUGCUUUAAAGUGUAUUUCUAUACUUAGUCUUAGAUUGGAAGGGAAAAUGGAGUAUUCGGCAAAGACAAGGUUUCCACUCCAACUCUGAUGGUAUCAUUUACCCUUUGUCGUUGCUCCUACAACUCUCAAUGGUACGAACCUUCAUUUGUAUUUAUUUUACUAUUUGGGAGAAGGUAUUAGGCCCCAAAGGGGGAGAAAAGUUGCAAGUGGGCUCUCAAGUUCUCCGUUUUUGGCGAUUAAUGCCAAAGGGGAGAAAGUAUUUAGCCCAAAGCAAAAGGACCGCACCACCACCACCAUUUCAAAAUUUCAAAAAUAAGUAUUCCAAUUGGUAUUUGAUCAAAAUGAAUUUUCAAUUGGUAUGUGAAGUGAAUUUCUCAAUUGGUAUCUCAUUUGGUAUUUCAAAAUUGUUUUUCAAAUGGGUAUCUUCAAAACUUCACAUUAGUAUGAAAGAUUUCAAUUGGUAUAAUUUCACUUGGUAUCUAUUUCAAAACCCUCUUGAAAGCUAAGGGGAAAAUUUCAUUCAGGGGGAGCUUUUAUUUAGUCAAAGCAAAAGCAUUUGAAAUAGGGGAAGGAAUUUCAAAUCUUAAAAAUGCUUCUUGCAAUCUUAUUCCUAUACCUUUGACUAUUUGCAAAAGAAUUUUUGAAAGGAUUUUUCCAAAAGAUUUGCAAAAAUAAACAUGUGGUGCAAAUGUGGUCCAAAAUUUUAAAUAAGGAAAAGCAAUUCAUUCAUUCUUAGUCAUAUAUUUAAAGUCUUUCAAUUGGUUUAACUCCAAGCAACUUAUGCACAUCUAUCUCAAUUGCUUUGGUUUGUGUUGGCAUCAAUCACCAAAAAUGGGGAGAUUGAAAGGGAAAUAGGGUUAACUAUUUCCUAUAAUUGAUUUUGGUGGUUGACAUCCAACAUAAACCACAUGGACUAACUAGUUUGUCUAGAUAUCAUCUAUUACAGGUGCAUAAGGUUCAACACAAACCAAGAAAGAAAUCCAGUUAGGGACACAAUCAAAAUUGGAGCAAAGAACUAGAGUGUGCUGAAUUUUUGCGCACCAGAUAGUGUCCGGUGUACCAGACCGUACAACAUAUGAACCAGCCAUUCUCAGGAAUUCCAGGGGCACGCUCCGCUAUAAUUCACCGGACUGUCCGGUGAGUCAGCGGAGCAACGGCUCCCUGUGUGCCAACGGUCGACUGUAGAAGCUACAGUGAACUACAGUACUGUGGCAGAAGUCAGAGGGCACCGGACUAUCCGGUGCAGCAAGACGACAAGCAACUCCAACUGUCAACUACUUCGAACCCUAACGGUUGCGCUAAUGUGGCGCGAACCGGACAGUGCACAGUGGCUGUCCGGUGGCGCACCGGACUGUCCGGUGCGCCCAUCGCCAGCAGCCUUUGCCAACGACUAGGAAUUGGUUGGGGAAACCACCUCAUUCAUUGCCAUCCAAGUUUUCUAAAGAUCACAUUCAAUACAAGAGCUAGAACAUUCACUCCAAGACAAAAUUCCAAAGAUCAAACCCUCUUUAAGUGCCAAAUUCAUCUCAACCACUUAGUGACUUGAGAGAGAGUGAUUUUGUGUUCAUUUUUUGUGGUCCUUGCGAGGUCUUAGUGACCCGUGAGAUUAAGGAAAAGGCUCACUCGGUCUAAGUGACCGUUUGAGAGAGAGGGAAAGGGUUGGAAUAGACCCGACCUUUGUGGCCUCCUCAACGGGGACUAGGUUCUUUGGAACCGAACCUCGAUAAAACAAAUCACCAUGUCUAAUCGCUUUGAUUCUCGCUUGAUUUGUUUGCCCUCUUUCCUCUCUCUCUAACAUUUCCUUGCUAGCAUUAAUUUGAGUUUGCUACCAUACGUCAUCUGCACUCUUUGAGCAACUCCUAGCAAGAGAAACAAUCUUUCGGGCUUGAGUUUAAUUCUAACGCUAACCCUGGCCUUUAGUGUGUGUUUAAGUUAUAAAUUUCAGGUUUCGCCUAUUCACCCCCCUCUAGGCGACUUUCACUUGCGAAUACUAUGGUGAAGUCUGGGUCGCGAGAACAGGGCUGAGACGGGCAGACGGCGGAGGGGG